AAAUUGGUGGUGAUAGUUGUAUAAAUGUUAUUUUUUGCAAAACAUUACACUCCUGAGGAUGACGCAAUAGUAUACGUCGAAACAUGUAGUGUAAAAAAUUGUUUUCCAGUUUCAUCGGGUUUUUUACCACUCUUUAGGCUUGUACAAUCCAAUAACUGCUGAGAACAAUGAGUGGUGUGUGUAUGUAAGACAAGAAACUAUAGAGUGGGAACGGAAAGCUGUUUUCUGAUGAAAGAUGAAUACGUAAGAAGUAGGACCAUGCAAUGAUGUCAAGAAUGACACUAAAAGAGGCAAAACAUCUGCAUUUCAAGAGAAAGAAGUUCAGCUUUCCAAAUGUAUCGGACAUGUUUCGGAUUAACCACAGAAAAAAAAAUGCAUUAUUUGAAGAACUUCUUUUACUUUAAUAUAAUAUGAUGCACUAACCAACAAAUACUCAAUUAACAGAAAUGUAUGUGAUAGUGUAAAGAAACUGUAGAAACGCAAUGGGUGAGAAGUACUGAAAGAUAGCUUUUAAUAAAUUUUGAUUAUUCUCGCU